UACAGGGGCAGUGGCCCAGGCUGACCACCUCCCUGCCUUCCUCAUCCCCUGGCCUCACCUCCACAAUGGAUGGGUCUUCAGGCUCCAGAAGGCAGGAAUGAAGACUAUGACAAGCAGGAGGAGAAGCAGCAGCAGGCAUUUCUAGAACUCUAACUACAGACAUCUUAGCAAUGGAUACCUCUGGAAGUCGCCCAGGGGUCUCCCCGGUUCCUGUACUGCAGCUCAUACUGAAGCUUGCCCUUCAGCAUGUAGAAGGCAGGGUCUUCGUAAUCUGAGCGCCAGGAGAUAUUAUACUGUCCUGAGAAGGUCACAGUCACGUUGAAAGGGGGAGCCGGCUUGACUUGGUGGAAAAACCCAGGAAAAGAAAAUGGGGUGAGAAUUUGCUGCAGGUGAAAAGGAUUUGGUGAUGGGAGGAAGUCCUGCCUGCCCCCACCCCUGCCUCCAUGCCUGACCCAUCAUGGAUGAGAUGAAGACCAACAACCCUGAGUGACUUUGGGCAAAGUACUCCCAACUCUGGGCUUCAGUUUAUUCAUCUGGGACCUGGGAGAUUUAGACCUGAUCAGGAUUGCAAACUCAGGGGCGGGCAGGUCACAGAGAGGAGUGAAGCAGGUUUAGGGACUGUGACGAAAUAAAACGCUACUUCAAGCAGUUGAUGACUCUUCUUAGCAUGAAUGCUAAUGGUGAGGGCUGCC
rnacentral:lncRNA from 1 species